rnacentral:rRNA from 1 species
UCACCUACGGGAGGCAGCAGUGGGGAAUAUUGCACAAUGGGGGAAACCCUGAUGCAGCGACGCCGCGUGGGUGACGAAGUAUUUCGGUAUGUAAAGCCCUAUCAGCAGGGAAGAAGAUGACAGUACCUGACCAAGAAGCCCCGGCUAACUACGUGCCAGCAGCCGCGGUAAUACGUAGGGGGCAAGCGUUAUCCGGAUUUACUGGGUGUAGAGGGAGCGUAGGGGGCAUGGCAAGCCAGAAGUGAAAACCCGGGGCUUAACCCCGCGGAUUGCGUUUGGAACUGAC